ACUUGCCAACGUGCUGGAUGCUGUUUUCAAGCCUGAACUUCGCUGAUCCAGAGCAGUCUUUCUACAAACAUGUCUGAAGUCCAGAAACUGGGGGACAUGUUGAAACUGCAGCUAACAUCUGCUGACGAAGGAAUGAUCGCAGACCAGGAAGAAGAAAUGUGUCAUUUAAAAGAAGAGAACAAAAGAGACAUGCAGCCGUUGUUGGUGAUUAAAGAAGAAUUUCUUCCUGAACACCAGGAAUGGAAUC